rnacentral:tRNA from 1 species
CCUCUCGUGGCGUAGGGGUAACGCGCCCCAACUAGAGAUCGGGGAGUCGUGAGUUCGAUUCUCACUGAGAAGA